rnacentral:snoRNA from 10 species
GUGCCCUCCUAAGACUGUCUUGGUGCUUUCAGAGACUCGUGUAAGAGGGUAAAAUCAGGCUCUAUAAAACCCAGGGAGGAAACUGUAAAAAUUCCUCCUUGGAUUCUGUCUGGAGUCACAGCC